rnacentral:rRNA from 1 species
UACGUAGGGGGCUAGCGUUGUCCGGAUUUAUUGGGCGUAAAGAGCGUGUAGGCGGCCAGGUAGGUCUGGUGUGAAAACUCGAGGCUUAACCUCGAGAUGUCAUCGGAAACCAUCUGGCUAGAGUCCGGAAGAGGAGAGUGGAAUUCCUGGUGUAGCGGUGAAAUGCGCAGAUAUCAGGAAGAACACCGAUGGCGAAGGCAGCUCGCUGGGACGGUACUGACGCUGAGGCGCGAAAGCGUGGGGAGCGAACAGG